AAAAAGUUUAAUUUUAGUUUAAUAUUUUAUUUAAUUUUUUAUUUACAUGUAAAUUUUAGUGUGUAUAUAAGUUUAAUUUUAAUAAUUGAAUUUAAAUUAUUUAUUCGCAGUAUAUAGUUUUAAUAAUUAAAGGAAUUUAGAAUUAUGAAUUAAUUUUAAUAUUGACAAAAUUUGUGCCAGCAGUUGCGGUUAUACAAAAAAUAUAAAUAAAAUUUAUUGAUUUUUAAUAAGUUGUUUAAUUUUAAUUAAAUGUAAAUUUAUAAGGUGAAAUUUAAAAUUUAUUAUAAUUAUUAUUUUAUUAUAUGAAAUUAUGAAAUUUAAUAUAUAAACUAGGAUUAGAUACCCUAUUAUUUUAAAUGUAAAUUUUUUGAAUUAAAUUAGUAUUAGUUAUGGUCUUGAAAUUUAAAAAUUUUGGCGGUGUUUUAGUCUAUUCAGAGGAACCUGUUCUAUAAUCGAUAGUCCACGAUAAAAUUUACUUGGUUUAAAAAUUUGUAUAUCGUCGUUGUAAAAUAUUUUAUAAGAAUUUUAAUAUUUAAUAUUUUUUUAAAAAAUUAUUACAGAUCAAGGUGCAGUUUAUGAUUAAGAAGAAAUGGGUUACAAUAAAUUUAUUUAUAUGGAUUAUGAUAUGAAAUAUUUAAUGAAGGUGGAUUUGAUAGUAAUAAGAUUUAUAUAGAUUUUAUGAUUUAAGCUCUAAAAUGUGUACAUAUCGCCCGUCGCUCUUAUUAUAAGAUAAGAUAAGUCGUAACAUAGUAGAUGUACUGGAAAGUGUAUCUAGAAUGA
rnacentral:ncRNA from 1 species